GUGGUUUGUUUUCACUUGCAGGCUGAAACAGCAGUUUCCUUAAUUAAAAACACCCCAACAUGUGCCCCGGCCCCCAACAAAAAUAACGCCAAAAAUGCCACUGAAAGAAACACAGGGAGUUUUUAAAAAAUUUCCUUUAGCUUUCUCUCCCCUCCACCCCUACCCUGCUGCGUUCAGUGCAGUGAAUGACCGUGAGGAGAUGGCUGUGGGUCUGGCUGUUGAAGGGUGUGUGAAGGAGAAGGAGGUGUGUGUAGAGCAGGAUUGGUGGUGGAGGUGAGUGCAGCUGGUUUGGGUGUGGGGCUGUAAAUUCUUUUUGGAGGCUUCCUAGUUUCUGGUGUCACCUGCGGGGUGAAGUGUGACUCUGUGCAGGUUUGAAAGGUGCAACGUGCAGAGCUCCCUCAUUUGCCACCAGAUCUCCCAAUCACAGAGACAGCGUCGCUGUGCAGCUGCUAAGGACAGCGCGUCUCGUGCAGAACAGCAUCCUUUGUGCUCCGUGUGCGUGUUCCUCCUUUGAAAUGAAGUUGGGCCGCCCGGUGUUCCACGUUACGUGUGGUACCUGCUGGGCUGAGUCUCCUCCCCGCGCUCCGGUCGGUUCCGUCGCGCUGCCGCAGCCCCGGCAGCACCGCGGCGUUCGCUGGACGCGUUGUUGGCGGAGCCGGCACCGACAAUCUUGACACGUCGAGGCGCUGCGGUGGGUUUGCCUGGGAAUUCCAAGGUAAUUCCAAGGCAGACAGUAAUAAUCCCCAAUUUAUGUAGUAAAAUUUAAGAGUGGAAUAUAAAUGCUGGAGCACUAAUUGGAAGUAAUACCUGUAGAGAAAAAAACCUCUAGUUUAUAUCUACAAUAAAAAAUAAUGUGUGCUAGUAAAUCCGCCUGGUAGUAAUGUAAUGAUAAAAAUGUUAAAGUGUAAAUAGAUGAAAUUAUAUAGGCAUGAGCAAGAAGUAAAUUUAAUUUCAGCUAUUACUUGGUGAACUAGGCAGCAGUUGUUCCCAAUCUGAAUGCUAGUUUAAAAAACACAUUGUUUGGAAUUCCUUUUAAAUGAUAAAGGCAGAAAACUAAUGUGGAGUCAUUGGUAGCUUCAUUUGAACAACCGUUAUGAAAUAAACCGCAGACACGAAUGACUGCAUAGGAAACAAAGUGAGGAAGCUUUAGAUUUUAAACAGCAUUGGAAAGUGAUCGGGAGUGUUUAGUAUUUAAAUUAUAACAGAGCCACGAGAUUGGAGGCAACAAAGCUCAGAACCAAACAGAGUCAAAACGUUACAUUUCUUUUUUUAAAGAGAAGUAUAAAGGAACCACUAAGUAGUGGCUGUUUAUAAACAGAGGUAUUAAAAAGUUCCCAACAGAACACUAGAAGAUAUUUAGAUGUAAAAUAAUAUUAGAAAACAGUUAUGACAGUCUGAAUUUAACCACAGCUUUUUUGGGGUUGUGCAAAAACAUGACCGCUAUUAAUUACCUCUGAGUUAAAAUAAAAAGACAUCAAACUAGAUGUGAUUAACAACAGCUAAUUUUAAUUUUUCAGUGUGCUAUCCAGUCCGGCUUCUCCCUCCAAGGGCGUGGUCUGAGAAAGCCACACCCCCAACUGCCCCCCGUCCAAGCUCCGCCCCUGCCAGUCUGUGCCCUCCCCGAGGCGCGUGUCCCUUACAGCCCCCUCCCAGCAGCAUAAUGCAUCGAAGCCCCGCCCGCGGCUCCACCCCUAAACUCAGCCCCUGCUAAACCACGCCCCCUCAGAGCACGUGCUGUACAGAGCCCACCCUACUCUCGGCUCCACCCCUCCCUUCCUAAGCUACGCCCUCUUUGGGCGUGUCCUUCUCCCUACCCCAAGCGGCUCCUCCUAUGGGGGUGUGACACACGGAGGAACCACCCCCUGCCCAGUUCCCCCAGGUGGGCCUCCCAAUGGGCGUGUCCUCCCAGUCCCCGCCCCUCGGCACGGAUCCCACCCCCGUGGGUGGGGCUCCACCCAGCUGCGCGCUCGGCCCCCCCCACCCAUACGUGACCCUCAGUAACCCCAUGGCAGCCCUAUGGCUGCCCCACAGGUACCGCUACAGCAGCCCUGCUCCUUCCCCGCAAGAGCUCCAGACACGCCUCUGCAGAGCCCCCACAGCAGCCACUUCAGUGCCCCACAGCUAUCACCGCAGCCGCCCCAUCCCGCCCCACGGCCGCCGCUGCGGGACCCCUGGAGCCCCCGACCCCACACCCGCCUCGCAGCCCCACAGCGCGCGGUCUCGCGGCCGCGGUGCCGGUGAAGCCACGUGCCGGCCGCGGCCGGAGGAGCCGCCGGUUUCCCGCCCCCACAUCCCCCGAUCGCUGCUGCCGCGGCUGGAGGAGCCGCCGGUUUUGCCCCCACAUCCCCCGAUCGCUGCUGCUGCCGCGGCCGGAGGAGCCGCCGGUUUUCCCCCCCACACCCCCCGAUCGCUGCUGCUGCCGCGGCCGGAGGAGCCGCCGGUUUUCCCCCCCCAUAUCCCCCGAUCGCUGCUGCUGCCGCGGCCCGAGGAGCCGCCGGUUUCCCCCCCACAUCCCCCGAUCGCUGCUGCUGCCGCGGCCGGAGGAGCCGCUGGUUUUCCGCCCAGCCCCGACUCUCCUCCUUCCUCUUCAAUCGCCGCUGCAUGCCGCCACGAUGUCUUCUAUUCUGCCAUCUUGUUUCCCCCUUCUCCUCUCAUUCGCUAUUUUAUACCGAGGGAGGGAGGAGGCGCUCGCUGAUUGGCUGACAGUGUCAGUCUCGGAAGUCGUCCAUUGGCUCAUCCCCACGAGGGGUUCUCCGAGGGGGUGGGAGAAAGGCGCUGAUUGGUCACCGUGUCGCUGAGGUGAGGAAGGCACUGAUUGGUCACUUUCCGCCGAAGUUCGCCCUCCCAGUAACAGGCGCUGAUUCGCUAGCGCCCCUGAGGUAGAAAAGGCGCUGAUUGGUCGGCGUUUUCUCGCCGACGUUAGCCCACAGCAACGAAGCGCUGAUUGGGCAGCGCGGCUGACGGGGCGGAUCGUCCAUUGGCAGGAGGGCGGGCGGGGGGCGGGACCGGGCGGGACAACGAGGUAAUAAAUGGGGCGGCGCAGAACGCGCGCAGGAUCAGAAAGGCGGAGGCGGCAGCGGCAGCGCGAGCUCAUCGGCCCCCCUCCCCCACCCCCUCCCCCGCGGCGGGAAACCCGAGAACGGCAGGAACGGCGGCCGGAAUCAGUUAACGGGGCGGGUCAGGGCGGUAAUUAUCGUGCGGGUGUUAAUUGGGGCUCGGCGGGUGAAUGAGUGACCGGCGGGCUGGGGUGUAUCUGGGGGUUUUGAUCGGAACUGGGGUUUUAAAGCCGCGGGUUUGUGGGGGGUGGGGGGGCGGGGGCGAUUAAGGCUCCCGGAGCCGCUUUAGCGGCUUAAAUCGUUGUGUUGAACGCGGGAGGAGCCGGUUCGGGGCUUUUCUCAGCAAGCGGGGCUGGUUUGGGUCUAAUUCGGCUUUUAAAAGAUGUUUUUACGUAAUUUUUGGGUGCCGAUUUGUGCCAGAAGGCGCCUUUGAAAUCUGUUUAUUGAGGGUUUAUCAGGAGAAUUAAAGUUUAAAGCUCGGGGAGAUUUGGGGCUUUUCCCCGGGAUUUUGAGUCCAAAUCGGUUUUUUUAGAGCCCUUAUUUAUUUAAAUUGUUAUGUUUAAAGGGUUUAUUUGAGGUUUUAUUUGGAACAUUUUGGGCGGGUUUGAGGCUCCUAAGAUUUAAUUGUUGGUUUAUUAUUUGAUUUAUUAUUUCACUGCGGUGCGGGGCUCCUGAAGACGCUGAGUUGUUUCAAUUAUUUAGCGCUGUGAGGAGCCGUUUUGGGGCCGUUGGGGUCUAAAUCGGCUUUUUAAAAGGUUUAUUUAACGCGUUUAAAGUUUGAGGGGCCGAUUUGCGACUUUAAAGAUUUUUGAAUCUACUUAUUGAUAAGAAUUUAUACAAUAGAUUAAUAUUUAAAGCCCGGGGGGAGAUUUGGGGCUGUUUCCCAGGAUUGCGAGUCCAAAUGCGUUUUUUUCUGUUAACCGCUUAUUAAUUUAAAUUAUUAUAUUUAAACGGGGCUUUUUGAGGUUUUAUGAGGUUUUUUUUGAGCAUUUUGGGCGGUUCUGAGGCUCCUAAAGCCGCUUAAUUGUUUAAAUUAUUAAUUGUUAAAAUAAUGUAAGUAGUUGUUGAAAUAAGUGUGUAAGUUAUUGUAUUUAAAGCCGGGAGGGGCAUUUCGUUGCUUUUUGGGGGGUUUUAGGGCUGAAUUCACUUCAUUGAACGUGUCUAGAGCUGGGGGUCCCAGAUCUGGUGCUGAUUUGGCCCCAAAAAAAGCUUUAAAAAUCUAUUUAUUUAUAUAAUUUACUGAAUUAAUAUUUAAGCGGGAACAUGUUCGGCUUUUUUAACCCGCCGCCAUUUUGUCUCCCCCGUCCCGCUCUCCCUCACGCUGAGGGGGCCGAGGAGACGCUCGCUGAUUGGCCGGUGCCGUCUGGCGGGAAAGCCUCCCCCGGCUCAGCCCCGCUCGGCUGUCUCCGAGGGAGAGAAAGGCGCUGAUUGGUCGCUGCCUCUGAGGAGAGAAAGGCGCUGAUUGGUCGCCGCCUCCCUAAACCCACCUCCUGCGCAGAGAACAGCGAAGGCAGCCUGGCCACGCCCCCUCCGGCUGACCGCGCCCCCCCCUCCGGCUGACCGCGCGUGCCCCCCCCGCAACUCGGCUGACCGCGUGCCCCCCCCAACUCCGGCUGACUGUGUCCCCCCGCCCCCCGGCUGAUCCCGUGCCCCCCCCACUGCACUCCUGCUGACUGUGCGCCCCCCCCACCUCCUCCAGCUGGCCACAUCUCCACUGCACACCAUGGCGGGGAUGGGGUGGGGGGGAUCACAAGGGUCUAUGGGGCGGUGUGGGGGUCAGGGCGGCUGUGGGGUCAAUGGGGUUGUUGUGGGGUGAAACACCCCUGAAGAGGCUGAACCCCCUACAGGUGAGUGACCCACACAGUGCCCCACAGUGCCCCAUAGCACCUCCACUCUGCCCUAUGGAUCCACAACACUGCCCCACAGCACCCUAUAGCUCCUGCUUGCUAUCCCACAGCACCCCAUGGCUUCUCCACUCUGCGCCAUAUGUCUACAGCAGUGCCACAGAGUACCUCAUAUGUCUUCCACUCUGCCCCAUGGGUGCAGAGUGCUGCCCUACAGCACCCUAUAGCUCCUGUACUCUGCCCCACAGAUCCACAGUGCUGUCCCACAGCACCCUAUAGCUCGUCUGGCCUAUAGACCCACUGUACUGCCCUACAAUGCCCCAUGGCUCCUACACUCUGCCCCAUAGACCCACAACACUGCCUCACAACACCCCAUUGCUCCUGCACUCUGCCCCAUGGAUGCCCAGUACUGCCCCACAGCACCAUAUAGGUCCUGUACUCUGCCCCAUAUAUCCACAGGAGUGCCCUGCAGCACCCCAUGGCUCCUGCACUCUGCCCCAUGGAUACCCAGUAACGCCCCACAGCACCAUAUAGGUCCUGUACUCUGCCCCAUACAUCCACAGGAGUGCCCCCCAGCACCCCAUGGCUCCUGCAUUCUGACCCAUGGAUGCCCAGUACUGCCCCACAGCACCAUAUAGGUCCUGUACUCUGCCCCAUAUAUCCACAGGAGUGCCCUGCAGCACCCCAUGGCUCCUGCACUCUGCCCCAUGGAUGCCCAGUACUGCCCAACAGCACCAUAUAGGUCCUGUACUCUGCCCCAUACAUCCACAGGAGUGCCCCCCAGCACCCUAUGGCUCCUGCAUUCUGACCCAUGGUGGAUGCCCAGUACUGCCCCACAGCACCAUAUAGGUCCUGUACUCUGCCCCAUACAUCCACAGGAGUGCCCCCCAGCACCCCAUGGCUCCUGCACUCUGCCCCAUGGAUGCCCAGUACUGCCCCACAGCACCGUAUAGCUCCUCUACUCUGCCCCAUACAUCCACAGGAGUGCCCCCCAGCACCCCAUAGUGACUCUACUCUUCCCCAUAGACCCACAGUGCUGCUGCACAGGACUCUACUCUGCCCCUUAGACCCAGAGAGCUGCCCCACAGCAGCCUGUAGGUGCUGCGUUCUGCCCCAUUGGUGCAAAGUGCUGCCCCACAGCGCCCCACACCUCUGUCCACCUGACCACCCUUCCCUCCUGACUGCGCCUGCACUGCCCACUAUGGGUGGGUCACAAGGGUCUAUGGGGCGGUGUGGGGGUCAGGGCGGCUGUGGGGUCAAUGGGGUUGUUGUGGUGUGAAACACCCCUGAAGAGGUUGAACCCCCUACAGGUGAGUGACCCACACAGUGACCCACAGCAGCCCAUAGCCCCUCUGCCCUAUAGAGUCACUGCACCCCAUAGCUGCUUUUACUCUGCCCCAUAAAUGGACAGCAGUGCUCCACAGCACCCUAAGUCUCCACUGUGCCCCAUAGACACACAGUGCUGUCCCACAGCACCCCAUAUCUUGUUCACUCUGCCCUAUAGACCCACAGUGUAACCCUACAGCACCCCAUAGUUCCUCUGCCCUAUAGAUUAACAGCACUGUCCCAGAAAACACCAUAGCUUCUUCCCACUAGCCCAUAGGCCAGCAAUUCUGCCCUACAGCGCACUAGCUCCUGCACCCUAUCCCAUAGACCCACAGCAGUGCCCCACAGAUCCAGUCUGCCCUAUACAUCCACAGCACUGCUCUGCAGCACCAUAUACUUCCAGCACUCUGGCCCAUUGAUAUGUAGCACCCCACAGCUGCUGCAUUCUGCCCAUAGAUCGAGAUUCCUGGGUCCCCUCACCCCACCAGCUGUCCUGGGUUGCGAUGCUGCACGGGGCCCUGUGCACAACAAAAUGAGGACAGCAUGGCUGCUGGGCGCCACCCAGCUUGGAAUCCGAGAUGGCUGGGGGGGGAGGGCUGGCAGCCAUGCUGGCACUGCCGGAGGGGCUGUUGGUCUGCGCCGUGCUCAGGCGGCAGCUCCCGGCUGUAUCGGCUGCUCCUGUGGCCCUGCACCCUGCCCAUGGGAACAAGGUGGCUGCCCUGAUGGGCGUGGCCAUCUCGGCUGCUGUGUCCCUGCUGGUGGGCGGGGCCAUGGCUGUCAUGGCUGCCAAGCCUGUGCUGGAAGGGUGGGGCUGAGGUGGGUGGGGCCUGCCUAGGGCGGCCAUUCUGGGGUGGGGCCCAAGGUGGGUGGUGGGGCCUGUGGCUCUGUUUACCCCUGACAGCCAUCUUGGAAAAGGGCAGCGCUGUGCCGCUGCCAUCCUGACGUUGCUCCCCCAGGGCCAUGUUGGGGGAUUUUUAACCUGGUUUUGGGGCCAAUUCUCACCCAAUAAAAUUAAAUAAUUUAAAAAAA